rnacentral:rRNA from 1 species
ACCCGCUGAACUUAAGCAUAUCAAUAAGCGGAGGACAAGAAACCAACAGGGAUUGCCUCAGUAACGGCGAGUGAAGCGGCAACAGCUCAAAUUUGAAAUCUGGCCUCGCGGUCCGAGUUGUAAUUUGCAGAGGACGUCUCGGGCGCGACGCCGGUCGAAGUUCCUUGGAACAGGACGUCACAGAGGGUGAGAAUCCCGUACGUGACCGGCGAUCAACCCCACGCGAGACCCCUUCGACGAGUCGAGUUGUUUGGGAAUGCAGCUCUAAAUGGGUGGUAAAUUUCAUCUAAAGCUAAAUACCGGCCAGAGACCGAUAGCGCACAAGUAGAGUGAUCGAAAGAUGAAAAGCACUUUGGAAAGAGAGUGAAACAGUACGUGAAAUUGUUGAAAGGGAAGCGCUGGCAACCAGACU